rnacentral:rRNA from 1 species
UUGCAAGGGACGGUUAGUGGCGUAAGGGAGAGUAAUGCAUAGGAACGUACCCUGGACACCGGGAUAACAGCGGGGCAACCCUUUAGCGAAAGUGCUGCUAAUACCGGAUGAUGUCGCAAGAUCAAAGGCGGGGACCUUCGGGCCUGCCGGUCUGGGAGCGGCCUAUGUCCUAUCAGCUUGUUGGUGAGGUAACGGCUCACCAAGGCGACGACGGGUAGCGGGCGUGAGAGCGUGGCCCGCCUCAUCGGGACUGAGACACUGCCCGGACACCUACGGGUGGCUGCAGUAACGAAUAUUGGGCAAUGGGCGCAAGCCUGACCCAGCAAUGCCGCGUGCAGGAGGAAGCCUUUCGGGGUGUAAACUGCUGUGAGGGUCCAGCAAGCAAACCGGGUAAAUAGCCCGGAGCGUUGAGCAGACCCAGAGGAAGUCUCGGCUAACUCUGUGCCAGCAGCCGCGGUAAUACAGAGGUGGCAAGCGUUGCUCGGAAUCACUGGGCAUAAAGGGCGUCUAGGCGGAUCGGUAAGUCGGCUGUGAAAGCCCUCGGCUCACCCGAGGAAGUGCAUCCGAUACUGUCGGUCUUGAGGGCAAGAGGGGAGAGUGGAACUCCUGGUGGAGCGGUGAAAUGCGUAGAUAUCAGGAGGAACGCCGGUGGCGAAAGCGACUCUCUGGCUUGUUCCUGACGCUGAAGCGCGAAAGCUAGGGGAGCGAACGGGAUUAGAUACCCCGGUAGUCCUAGCCGUAAACGAUGGGCACUAAGUAGUGGCGUUUUCGAUGGCGUCACUGCCGUAGCUAAUGUGUUAAGUGCCCCGCCUGGGGAGUAUGGUCGCAAGGCUAAAACUCAAAGGAAUUGACGGGGGCUCACACAAGCGGUGGAGGAUGUUGCUUAAUUCGAAGCAACGCGAAGAACCUUACCUGGACUUGACAUCACGGUGGUAGGACCCUGAAAGGGGAACGACCCGGGGCAACCUGGGAGCCGUGACAGGUGUUGCAUGGCUGUCGUCAGCUCGUGCCGUGAGGUGUUGGGUUAAGUCCCGUAACGAGCGAAACCCUUGUCGCUAGUUGCCAGCGGGUCAUGCCGGGGACUCUAGCGAGACUGCCGGUGUCAAACCGGAGGAAGGUGGGGAUGAGGUCAAGUCAUCAUGGCCCUUACGUCCAGGGCUGCAAACGUCCUACAAUGGCACGUACAGAGGGAAGCGAACCCGCAAGGGCAAGCCAAUCCCAAAAAGCGCGUCCCAGUUCGGAUUGUGGGCUGCAACUCGCCCACAUGAAGUCGGAAUCGCUAGUAAUCGCGGAUCAGCAUGCCGCGGUGAAUAUGUUCCUGAGCCUUGUACACACCGCCCGUCAAGCCACGGAAGCCGGGAGUGC